UACGGAAGGCAGCAGUGGGGAAUAUUGCACAAUGGGCGAAAGCCUGAUGCAGCUAUGCCGCGUGUAUGAAGAAGGCCUUAGGGUUGUAAAGUACUUUCAUCGGGGAGGAAAAACAAAACUAAUAAUUUUAUUUCUUGACGUUACCCGAAAAAGAAGCACCGGCUAACUCCGUGCCAGCAGCCGCGGUAAUACGGAGGGUGCUAGCGUUAAUCAGAAUUACUGGGCGUAAAGAGCACGUAGGUGGUUUUUUUAAGUCAGAUGUGAAAUCCCUGGGCUUAACCUGGAACUGCAUUUUGAAACUGAAAUACUAGAGUAUCGUAGAGGGAGGUAGAAUUCUAGGUGUAGCGGUGAAAUGCGUAGAUAUCUGGAGGAAUACCUGUGGCGAAAGCGGCCUCCUAAACGAAUACUGACACUGAGGGUGCGAAAGCGUGGGGAGCAAACAGGGAUUAGAUACC
rnacentral:rRNA from 1 species